rnacentral:pre_miRNA from 1 species
GAGCUCAUUUCAGCUAAGUUGAGUUGUUCUGCCAAUCAAAAUGAGUCCCAGGAAAUUGGCAAAUCAACUCAGCUUAGCUGAACUGAGUUC